GGGCGAGUGGCGAAAUGGCAGACGCGCUGGCUUCAGGAGCCAGUGUCCGCAAGGACGUGGAGGUUCGACUCCUCUCUCGCCCACCA
rnacentral:tRNA from 1 species